UACGUAGGGUGCAAGCGUUGUCCGGAAUUAUUGGGCGUAAAGAGCGCGUAGGCGGCCCGAUUAGUCCGCUGUGAAAGUCCAGGGCUCAACCCUGGAAUGCCGGUGGAUACUGUCGGGCUAGAGUCCGGAAGGGGCGAGUGGAAUUCCUGGUGUAGCGGUGAAAUGCGCAGAUAUCAGGAGGAACACCAGUGGCGAAGGCAGCUCGCUGGGACGUGACUGACGCUGAGGCACGAAAGCGUGGGGAGCAAACAGG
rnacentral:rRNA from 1 species